rnacentral:rRNA from 1 species
GACGAACGCUGGCGGCGUGCCUAAUACAUGCAAGUUGAGCGCUGAAGGUUGGUACUUGUACCAACUGGAUGAGCAGCGAACGGGUGAGUAACGCGUGGGGAAUCUGCCUUUGAGCGGGGGACAACAUUUGGAAACGAAUGCUAAUACCGCAUAAAAACUUUAAACACAAGUUUUAAGUUUAAAAGAUGCAAUUGCAUCACUCAAAGAUGAUCCCGCGUUGUAUUAGCUAGUUGGUGAGGUAAAGGCUCACCAAGGCGAUGAUACAUAGCCGACCUGAGAGGGUGAUCGGCCACAUUGGGACUGAGACACGGCCCAAACGCCUACGGGAGGCAGCAGUAGGGAAUCUUCGGCAAUGGACGAAAGUCUGAACGAGCAACGCCGCGUGAGGGAAGAAGGGUUUCGGAUCGUAAAACUCUGUUGGUAGAGAAGAACGUUGGUGAGAGUGGAAAGCUCAUCAAGUGACGGUAACUACCCAGAAAGGGACGGCUAACUACGUG